GACGAACGCUGGCGGCGUGCCUAAUACAUGCAAGUAGAACGCUGAAGAGAGGAGCUUGCUCUUCUUGGAUGAGUUGCGAACGGGUGAGUAACGCGUAGGUAACCUGCCUUGUAGCGGGGGAUAACUAUUGGAAACGAUAGCUAAUACCGCAUAACAAUGGAUGACACAUGUCAUUUAUUUGAAAGGGGCAAUUGCUCCACUACAAGAUGGACCUGCGUUGUAUUAGCUAGUAGGUGAGGUAAUGGCUCACCUAGGCGACGAUACAUAGCCGACCUGAGAGGGUGAUCGGCCACACUGGGACUGAGACACGGCCCAGACUCCUGCGGGAGGCAGCAGUAGGGAAUCUUCGGCAAUGGGGGCAACCCUGACCGAGCAACGCCGCGUGAGUGAAGAAGGUUUUCGGAUCGUAAAGCUCGGUUGUAAGUCAAGAACGGGUGUGAGAGUGGAAAGUUCACACUGUGACGGUAGCUUACCAGAAAGAGACGGCUAACUACGUG
rnacentral:rRNA from 1 species